rnacentral:pre_miRNA from 1 species
UUGCAUGGAUGAGCAAAGAAAGUCGUUUCUUGAGAUGGAAACUACCCCUGGUGAAGAUGCUAUGAA